rnacentral:rRNA from 1 species
UCGAGAAUUUUUCACAAUGGGCGAAAGCCUGAUGGAGCGACGCCGCGUGGGGGAUGAAGGGCUUCGGCUUGUAAACCCCUGUCAUUCGUGAACAAAGCUGGCGGGUGAACAACCUGUUAGUUGAUAGUAGCGGAAGAGGAAGGGACGGCUAACUCUGUGCCAGCAGCCGCGGUAAUACAGAGGUCCCGAGCGUUGUUCGGAUUUACUGGGCGUAAAGGGUGCGUAGGCGGUGAGGUAAGUCUGGUGUGAAAUCUCCGGGCCUAACCCGGAAAAUGCAUUGGAAACUAUCUGACUAGAGACUUGGAGGGGAGAUCGGAAUUCUCGGUGUAGCAGUGAAAUGCGUAGAUAUCGAGAGGAACAUCAGUGGCGAAGGCGGAUCUCUGGACAAGUACUGACGCUGAGGCACGAAAGCCAGGGGAGCAAACGGG